rnacentral:rRNA from 1 species
UACGGAGGGUGCUAGCGUUGUUCGGAAUCACUGGGCGUAAAGGGCGUGUAGGCGGUCUGUUAAGUCUGAUGUGAAAUCCCCUCGCUCAACGAGGGAACUGCGUCGGAUACUGGCAGACUCGAGUACCGGAGAGGAAGGUGGAAUUCCCGGUGUAGCGGUGAAAUGCGUAGAUAUCUGGAGGAACACCGGUGGCGAAGGCGGCAUCCUGGACCGGCAUUGACGCUGAGGCGCGAAAGCUAGGGGAGCAAACGGG